rnacentral:rRNA from 1 species
AGCGAACGCUGGCGGCAGGCCUAACACAUGCAAGUCGAACGAACCUUUCGGGGUUAGUGGCGGACGGGUGAGUAACACGUGGGAACGUGCCUUUAGGUUCGGAAUAACUCAGGGAAACUUGUGCUAAUACCGAAUGUGCCCUUCGGGGGAAAGAUUUAUCGCCUUUAGAGCGGCCCGCGUCUGAUUAGCUAGUUGGUUGAGGUAAUGGCUCACCAAGGCGACGAUCAGUAGCUGGUCUGAGAGGAUGAUCAGCCACAUUGGGACUGAGACACGGCCCAAACUCCUACGGGAGGCUGCAGUGGGGAAUCUUGCGCAAUGGGCGAAAGCCUGACGCAGCCAUGCCGCGUGAAUGAUGAAGGUCUUAGGAUUGUAAAAUUCUUUCACCGGGGACGAUAAUGACGGUACCCGGAGAAGAAGCCCCGGCUAACUUCGUG